CCCACGGGUGGCAGCAGUGGGGAAUAUUGGACAAUGGGGGGAACCCUGAUCCAGCCAUGCCGCGUGUGUGAAGAAGGCCCUCGGGUUGUAAAGCACUUUCAGUGAGGAAGAACGCCUGGUGGUUAAUACCCAUCAGGAAAGACAUCACUCACAGAAGAAGCACCGGCUAACUCCGUGCCAGCAGCCGCGGUAAUACGGAGGGUGCGAGCGUUAAUCGGAAUUACUGGGCGUAAAGCGCGCGUAGGUGGCUUGAUAAGCCGGUUGUGAAAGCCCCGGGCUCAACCUGGGAACGGCAUCCGGAACUGUCAAGCUAGAGUGCAGGAGAGGAAGGUAGAAUUCCCGGUGUAGCGGUGAAAUGCGUAGAGAUCGGGAGGAAUACCAGUGGCGAAGGCGGCCUUCUGGACUGACACUGACACUGAGGUGCGAAAGCGUGGGUAGCAAACAGGAUUAGAUACCCGUGUAGUC
rnacentral:rRNA from 1 species